rfam:Aspergillus calidoustus genome assembly, contig: SCAF7
GCGCUGGUGGUGUAACGGUAUCAUAUUAGCCUUCCAAGCUGGGGACCGGGGUUCGACUCCCCGUCAGCGCA